rnacentral:rRNA from 1 species
AACGAACGCUGGCGGCGCGCCUAAUACAUGCAAGUCGAGCGAGAAGACGUAGCAAUACGUUUGUAAAGCGGCGAACGGGUGAGGAAUACAUGGGUAACCUACCCUCGAGUGGGGAAUAACUAGCCGAAAGGUUAGCUAAUACCGCGUACGCUCCUUGGACUUCGGUUCAGGGAGGAAAGCGAUACCGUGGGUAUCGCGCUCUUGGAUGGGCUCAUGUCCUAUCAGCUUGUUGGUGAGGAACGGCUCACCAAGGCUUCGACGGGUAGCUGGUCUGAGAGGACGAUCAGCCACACUGGCACUGCGACACGGGCCAGACUCCUACGGGAGGCAGCAGUAAGGAAUAUUGCGCAAUGGGCGAAAGCCUGACGCAGCGACGCCGCGUGGGGGAUGAAGGUCUUCGGAUUGUAAACCCCUUUCGGGUAGGGAGAUGGAACGAGCAAUCGUUCGGACGGUACCUCCAGAAGCAGCCACGGCUAACUUCGUGCCAGCAGCCGCCGUAAC